UACGUAGGGCGCGAGCGUUGUCCGGAAUUAUUGGGCGUAAAGAGCUCGUAGGCGGCCUGUUGCGUCCGCUGUGAAAUCCCGGGGCUCAACCCCGGGCUUGCAGUGGAUACGGGCUGGCUAGAGGCAGGCAGGGGAGAACGGAAUUCCCGGUGUAGCGGUGAAAUGCGCAGAUAUCGGGAGGAACACCGGUGGCGAAGGCGGUUCUCUGGGCCUGUACUGACGCUGAGGAGCGAAAGCGUGGGGAGCGAAC
rnacentral:rRNA from 1 species